CCUGCCCUAUGGUUGUACCUGAAAUAAUAACAAAGCAGUUAUUUAUAAAGACAAUUUAAUGGCCGCGGUAUACCUGACUGUGAAAAUGUAGCGCAAUCAAUCGUCAAUUAAUUGUUGACAAGUAUGAAUGGCGUCACGAGUGCUUGACUGUCUUAAGAAAAAACCCAGUGAAAUUGAAUUCGUAGUUAAGAUGCUACGUAAUUUUGUAAGACGAAAAGACCCUAUUAAGCUUUACUGGAUGCUUAUGUUGUCUUAAUAAAUAGAUAUAAUGAAUGGUUAAUGCAUAUUAAAUAAGAUAAUUAAUAUUCUUAUUCAGUAUAUUUAAUCCUUUAUAUCAAUAUAAAUGAAAGACUAUUUCUCCACUUAAGAAUGGAUUAGUAUGUUAGACAGUUUGGUUGGGGCGACCCCCUUAAAAAGGAUAACUGAGGGGCACUAAGGUAGUAAAGAAAGAGCUUGACUGUAAGAGGGCCCUCAAACAGACACGAAAGUGGGUAAAUUGACCCGUUAAUAAAAGUGGGAUUGUUAACGAUAAACAAAUAAAAGUUACUAUAGGGAUAACAGCGUAAUAUUGUUAGAGAGUUCACAUUAACAACAAUGUUUGCGACCUCGAUGUUGAAUUGCGGCAUCCUGAGGGUGCAGAAGCUCUUAAAGGUUAGUCUGUUCGACUAUGAAAGCCUUACAUGA
rnacentral:rRNA from 1 species